AUGGACGAUAGUCUGACGGAGCAACGCCGCGUGAGUGAAGAAGGUUUUCGGAUCGUAAAACUCUGUUUUCAGGGACGAAUGUGCGAUAUGUGAAUAAUGUGUUGUAAUGACGGUACCUGACAAGAAAGCCACGGCUAACUACGUGCCAGCAGCCGCGGUAAUACGUAGGUGGCAAGCGUUGUCCGGAAUUAUUGGGCGUAAAGCGCGCGCAGGUGGGAUAAUAAGUCUGAUGUUAAAGUUCGGGGCUCAACCCCGUGAAGCAUUUGGAUACUGUUAUUCUUGAGUGCAGGAGAGGAAAGUGGAAUUCCUAGUGUAGCGGUGAAAUGCGUAGAUAUUGGGAGGAACACCAGUGGCGAAGGCGACUUUCUGGACUGUAACUGACGCUGAGGCACGAAAGCGUGGGGAGCAAACAGGAUUAGAUACCCUGGUAGUCCACGCUGUAAACUAUGAGUACUAGGUGUGGGGGGCGAAGCCCUCUGUGCCGCAGUUAACACAAUAAGUACUCCGCCUGGGGAAGU
rnacentral:rRNA from 1 species